GACAACGUGCCCGAGUGGUUAAGGGGACAGAUUAGAACGCUUUAUUGUUUAGAUCUGUUGGCGUCAGCCGCCAGAGUUCAAGUCUCUGCGUUGUCU
rnacentral:tRNA from 1 species